CCUGGCGGCGAUAGCGCGGUGGUCCCACCUGACCCCAUGCCGAACUCAGAAGUGAAACGCCGUAGCGCCGAUGGUAGUGUGGGGUCUCC
rnacentral:rRNA from 3 species